UAUCCGAGUUUUUGAAAUGAAAAUGAGGUGAAGCAGAUGAAGGGAAAGAACAGAUCUUUGGUUUGAUUCAAUGCUAAACAUUAAAUUACCUCUCGUGCACUUGAAGUGUGAAGAUGCUCAUGGGUUAUUUGCAUUAAUAUCAUCAAGAAAUUUUGUCAAAUCUCAUUGCUUUUGGUUUCUCCUGAGGUAUUUGCUUUCGGCCUUUCACGGGAACGAGAUGAGAGCCUGAAUGAAGCUGGAGCUCUUUGAUGCUAUUAGUCAUUGAAAGUCUAGAAUCAUUUUGCUUGUGGCCAAUUAGAAAUACUUUUUCUUUUCUUUGUCAAUUUGUUCAAUUGGCACUGGUAUAGGUUUAGUCUCACUAAGUAGAUUUUCUCUUUAUACUGCAUGUAUAUGCAUUUUAUUAUUCGUUUGAAUAUAUUGUAAAAGAAACUUAUUGCUGUUAAAUAUCCUUUUCUAGGAACUGACAA